rnacentral:rRNA from 1 species
GGGCCCGCACAAGCAGUGGAUUAUGUGGUUUAAUUCGAAGCAACGCGAAGAACCUUACCAGGGUUUGACAUCCAACUAACGAAGCAGAGAUGCAUUAGGUGCCCUUCGGGGAAAGUUGAGACAGGUGGUGCAUGGUUGUCGUCAGCUCGUGUCGUGAGAUGUUGGGUUAAGUCCCGCAACGAGCGCAACCCUUAUUGUUAGUUGCUACGCAAGAGCACUCUAACGAGACUGCCGUUGACAAAACGGAGGAAGGUGGGGACGACGUCAAAUCAUCAUGCCCCUUAUAUCCUGGGCUACACACGUAAUACAAUGGCGUUAAACAGAGGGAAGCAAUACAGCGAUGUGGAGCAAAUCCCCAAAAAGGCGUCUCAGUUCGGAUUGCAGGCUGAAACUCGCCUGUAUAGAAGUCGGAAUUGCUAGUAAUCGCGGAUCAGCAUGCCG